UACAGAGGGGGCAAGCGUUGCUCGGAAUUACUGGGCGUAAAGGGUGCGCAGGCGGCGCGGUAAGUCGGGUGUGAAAUCUCGGAGCUUAAUUCCGAAACUGCAUUCGAUACUGCCGUGCUUGAGGACUGGAGAGGAGACUGGAAUUUACGGUGUAGCGGUGAAAUGCGUAGAUAUCGUAAGGAAGACCAGUGGCGAAGGCGGGUCUC
rnacentral:rRNA from 1 species